rnacentral:sRNA from 1 species
AUAUUGAAAAACACCAGAUGAUCUGCUUCCAAGGGAUAUAAACAGGCCCAGCGGAUGCAGGUUCAUAAAACCCCGCAAAAGCCCAGACAGGAACACUUAAAAUGCCCAGAAACAAAGCCCACCGUGACAAAUUCUCACCCAGCACACAAGGCCAUGCACCAAAAUGUUCCCAGGCAC